UAUCAUAAUGGAUUUUUGCAACAGCCGCGCAGACCUGCUCUUGGGGACUGGGCAGGGCAACUGAGGGUUUGGCCGGUACCUAGGGGGACAGGCAUUCCCUCACUGCGAAGCCGGCUUUGUCUGGUGCGGACAUCCCCGGGCGAGGGUGCGGUGGCCUCGCCGGAGGGCCUCGCCCACUGCAGGGGUGCGAUUCCUGUGACUCAGCUUUCGAGCCGGCCGAGGGCCUUCGCCCCACCCCGGCCCUCUUUGUCUCCUCAACCGGCUUCUCCCGAAAUUGGGUGGGAGGUAAAGCACCCUUAAGUGAUUCUUUUCCCAAAAGCUGCCUCACUGUAACAGGCGCAUUUUUUGAUCGCUGUAAUUUUUUUUAAGCGAGCGCCCGAAUCAAAUAACCGGAGUAUUUGCUGGUUGGAGGUUCAUCUACCAGCAUUCUAUAGCGUACGACGCCUCCCCGCUUAGAAAAGUAAGUCAAGUUCAAGCUCUGCUAUUGACUUGCUGCCUGACAAUAAGGAAGUUUUUACUUUCCUGUUCCUUAUUUUGCUAAAUAUAAAAGCGAUUGCUAAGGAGGCUCGUGUCCAGUGCCAAAGACUGCAAUACCAGCAUCUCUGAAGUCGAAAGAUUAAAUUUAACCAUCUCACUCUGUCUUGAAGAGAGCCUUUGCAGCACAAGAGGUUUUUGAAGUGCACUUCUAAGUUACAUCCGGAAAUACGGGAGAUUUCGAUAGAGAAGAGCAAUUUUCAAAAUGGCACCUUGCCUUGGGCACGACUACCCGCCUUUCACUCCUGAAAACCCUGAAGCUCUGAGAAUCUAAGCCAGCCUUCGCGCCAUCAAACACACCCGCCUGUCUCAGGAGCCUCUGCCCGCCCUUGGGGCCAUGUGUCCCCAACCCCAGAGUGACUCCCGCCUGCCGCAGCUCCACCGGUGCUCAGUGUGAUGGUAACAGAAGGCUCCCUGGGCUAGUGUGCUACCAAUGAGUGCAGGGGACCGCAGGGAAAGUCGAGAGGAGCCAAAGGCAGCUGUUGGGCAUGUCGAACGUGCCAUGCCGCUCACUUUCCUGCUCACUUUGUCCAUCUGAUGGAAUCUGAGAGCCAAGAGGAACUUUAAGGGGGAUCUCACUCAACCCGGUUCCCUCCCCGCGGCUUGAAUUCGCCUCUACAACAUCCCCUCCAAGUGGUUGCUCAGUCUAUGCACAGCAAGGGCAAGAAAAAGCCAGCCGAGAAGCUUCCAGCAUACACAGGGGGCGAGGCCAAACACGGGGCAAAUGAAACACCAGGAAAGGAUGCUUGAGUUCUAGGCGUUUACUGUGGCAUUUACAGCCGGGACUCGAUUGUCUGAACUGGAAAGGUGACAUGGACAAUGGAGAUUCACAGACCGUCCAGUUAAGUUACUAAAUCUCACUUUAGCAAACAGAUUCAGUCGAAAGCACGUAUUCAAACAAAUACUCAUCUUCUUGUUCAUAGCAACACCAAUCCAAUAGCCAAAAGGUGGAAAGAGCCAAAUGCCCAUGGAUGAAUGAACGGAUAGAUGACAGGUAGUGUAGUCAUCCAAUGGGACAGUACUCCGCCAUAAAAAGGAACGAAGUCUGUGCACACUACAACAUGGGUGAACCUGGAGAGACGCUGAGUGAAAGAAGCCAGUCACAGGAACUGCUAAUGCUAGCGAGCUUCCUUGCUGUUAUGGACUGAACGUUUGUCUGAAGGAAGGCAGCUGUCCAUAAGUCAAGCAAGAAACAGGUUCUCAUCAGGAACCAAAUGCGCCUGUGCCUUGAUCUUGGACUUCCCAGCCUCCGGAAUGAGGAAGAAACCCAGCCCACAGAGGGAGCGCAAGCGCAGGUCCCAUUCAGGAAGGCUCUACCCUCCUGACCUAGUCACCUCUCCAAGGCCUGCCUCCUGCUAUCCCCGCCGUGGGGGAUACGCUGGCAACAGGUGAAUUUGGGGGAGAUCCGAAUAUUGAGACCAGAGCCCCCAGUACUGGUGGGAUUACACGUAGCCUCGGGGGAGGUGAAUUCCAUGCACAAACCCACAUGAGAGUCUGUGGCACCGAAGGACCCCGUGUCAGCACCGACCCCACUUAUAAGGCACUUGGAUUGGAGUUUGCCCUUCCAACCAGUGCCCCUACUGCAGUGUUUAUAGCCCCCAAGGGCUUUCAACUAGACCAGCAUUUAGUAGGUGCUGUGAAUCAUCCAGAAUCGAGGGGACUUCACUGGUCUUGCUGGGGUGCGUGGGCUGAGCACUUCGGGGGUGGGGGGGCCCAUGGCUAGGAAUAACCACACAGGUCAUCUGGAGUGCUUGCCGGAGCUGGGCACUGUCCCAUGGGCUUUUUAAUUCCCUGAGUGAUGGGGGUGGGUGCCGUGGACACCCCAUCUUACAGAAGAGAAACUGGGGCUCCGAGAUGUACCACGCCCCGGGUCACUCGCUAGUCCCGUCAACUGUUUGAUGCAAUUAUUUCAGUUUUCUCUUUCAGCAUUUUAUUUGCAUUUUCCUCCCUCAAGCAGGGGCAGCAAGGACGAAGGGGAAAUCUCCCACGUCGCCGAAACCGUUCCCUGGCCUUGGGCUGGGCCAGUCGGAAUCCGGUUUUCUGGUUUUUGUUUUGCUUUGAUGGGAAACACGCUGACGUUUGUCGUGCUGUCUACUUCUGUUGCUUUGUUGGAGCCUUUCUAUCACCCCACGUCUUGGUCUUAGGAUGCUAUUUUAUUUUAUUUUUUUAUUUAAUAAUUAUUAUUUGUUUUGGAUUUUAUUUACUUGUCAGAGAGAGAGUGUGCAGACAAGCCCGGGGAGCAGCCCAAUGGGAUACCUAUGGGGCUCAAUCCCAGGACCCUGAGAUCACGGCCAGAGCCAAGGCAGACGCUUCACCGACUGGGCCAUCCAGGCGUCCCAGGAUGCUUGUUUUACAGAUGGAAAGACUGAGGCCGUGGCCAUCACUAUGGGCAAGUGCCUGAACCGGGAUGGCAUCCAGCUCCCUCUGGUCAGGCCCGGAAGCCUCUCCUCUCAGAUGCGGGAAAGGCCCUUGAUUAGCAGGCUUUCAGAUGCAAAUCAAACAAUCAGGCCCUCUCUGCCCCCUUCCGACAGACAAAAACCAAAAUGUUGAGUGCUGAGGUUGGGCAGAAGGCAGGGCAAGGAGAGUGAGAGUAGCGCUCGCCUGCCCUUGCUGGAAGUGUAAACCGGUAAAGAUUUUGCAGGGGUACCAGCUGCUCUCACAAUGAAAACAGCAUUUCCAGUUUGAUCCAGUGGUUCCACUGUUAGAAAUGUUUUCUAGGGCUGUAUUCAGACAGAUACACCAAGAUUUGUCUCUCUAUAUUCGUACAUGUGCACACACCCAGAUAUCUUUUCCCCAUGAUUUCCCGGUAGCUUUUCCCUCUAGCUUUCCCCAUAGUUAGCUCCAUUGUAGGUAAGAGGAAACGUUAGAAUUAACCUAAGUGUAUGUUAAUUAGAUUUGUUAAAUACACGACAGAAAUUUAUGCAGCCCUUACAAAAUGACUGAGGGGCGCCUGGGUGGCUCAGUUGGUUGAGCAUCUGACUCUUGGUCUUGGCUGAGGUCGUGAUCUUGGGGUUUUGGGUUGGGUCAUGAUCUUGGGUCAUGGGAUAGAGCCCCGCUACCCCUGCCCCUGCUCGGUCUGUCUCUCUCUAAAUAAAAUCUUAAAAAAAAAAAAACAAGAAAAAGAUUGAGGCAGCUUUAUUCAUGAUGUCCUGGAAGGAUAGCUAAAGUAUACUUUUUUCUUAAAAAUUUUUUUUUGUCUUUUUUAUGAAAUCUCUGUACACAACAUGGGGUUCAAACCUACGACCCUGAGAUCAAGAGUCGCGUGCUCCACCAACAGAGCCAGCCAGGCGCUCCUCAAGUAUACUCCUAAGUAGAAAAAAAGGAACCCUCUAAAUAUUGUAGGAUCUACCUCCAUGUAAUAUGAAAGUGAGGUUAUAGAGACAAUUUCCAGAACAGAAUUUUAAGAACUAUUAACAGAAGUUACCUCUGGGGAAGGGGAAUGGAGAAUCUUCUACCACUUGCAUUUUUACUGGAAGCAUGUAUUACUUCUAUAUUUUAAAAUAUUUCAAAUACCAUUUAUGUUUUACCUUCAUCUUUUCUAUAAUUUUAAAAAUAAUGGGGCGCCUGGGUGGCUCAGUGGGUUAAGCCUCUGCUUUCGGCUCAGGUCAUGAUCCCAGGGUCCUGGGAUAGGGUCCUGGGA